UCGCGGGAGUAGUUUGGGGAAGAGGUGAAGAAGGUGCUGGAAUUGCUCCGUGCCUCUGCCCCACUGGAGGAGCGGGGAGGAGCCAGCCUGACGGGCCUGGGAUCAGCUGUGUCUGGCUGUUGGGACUGGAAUGUACAGGCUGUCUAGAAGAAAAAUGGCUUUUUUCUUACCUGAGAGAAGAGCUGAGGAAGCACAAGAGAAGCCUGGUAAUUUGCAUUAAUUACUUGAUGGAAAGAAAGAUAUUUUGAAGCCAUUCUGUAAAAGAACCAUCAACAAGAAUUUUGACAGGCUGGCAGUCAGGACAGAAUUGUUAAGUCAUUUGACGUGGAAGAGUUUUUGCACCUGGAAACUAAGUGGAAGCAUGGAAUCCAUGAGGGCAACAGAACCUUAGCCACUGAGGCUAGUGGGCAUUUACAGCAGAG